AUUUGAAGGCUGUUGGAGGAGCUGCAUGGCUGGAAAAAGAAGUGUUGGGCUGGUGUGUGACAGGGGGCGUGGCUGGUAUUCUCCUGGCUGCAGAUGAGGCACACCUGUUCCCAUUCAGAUAAUCACCUGCUCUUUAAGAGCCUGGCCCUCACCUCACUUCUCUGCCAGAGAAUUAAAUGCUGUUCAACGAUCCAGAGUGCCUUUCUGCAGCCUUGAGUUUUGUUUUGUUUCUUUGCAGUUUUUGAGCUACUUUUCGAGUAUAGCCUGGGACGUUUCCCUCUGCUUUGUUUUUGGACCUUUCUGCAGCCAGCCAGCUCCCUGUUUUCAGUACCUGCCUUGGCCUAUUAUUUAUUAAACACCUUGAGCUUAA